rnacentral:rRNA from 1 species
UACGAAGGGGGCUAGCGUUGCUCGGAAUCACUGGGCGUAAAGCGUGCGUAGGUGGUGAGUUAAGUCUGUCGUGAACGCCCCGGGCUCAACCUGGGAAUGGCGAUGGAUACUGGCUCGCUAGAGUGCGGUAGAGGAGAGUGGAAUUCCCGGUGUAGCAGUGAAAUGCGUAGAGAUCGGGAGGAACAUCAGUUGCGAAGGCGGCUCUCUGGACCAGCACUGACACUGAGGCACGAAAGCGUGGGGAGCAAACAGG